GCGACGCGAGGGGAGGACUGGGAAGUAAGAAGUGGGGGGCAAGGGGUGAUGGGAGUGAAUGGGGGUAAAGGGUGUGUAGGCGGCUGUGCAAGGCGAAGGGGAAGUCCCCGAGCUUAAGUGGGGAAUUGCAUUGGUGACUGGAAGGUUGGAGUGUGUCAGAGGGGGGUGGAAUUCACGGUGGAGGAGUGAAAUGCGUAGAUAUGGGGAGGAAUACCGAUGGCGAAGGCAGCCCCCUGGGAUAAUACUGACGCUCAUGCACGAAAGCGUGGGGAGCAAACAGGAUUAGAUACCCGAGUAGUC
rnacentral:rRNA from 1 species